rnacentral:hammerhead_ribozyme from 1 species
AUCCAGCUGACGAGUCUCAAAUGGGACGAAACGUGCGUCUUGGAU